rnacentral:rRNA from 1 species
AAUAUUGCGCAAUGGGGGGAACCCUGACGCAGCAACGCCGCGUGAAGGAAGAAGGUUUUCGGAUUGUAAACUUCUUUGAUUGGGGACGAAGAAAUGACGGUACCCAAAAAACAAGCCACGGCUAACUACGUGCCAGCAGCCGCGGUAAUACGUAGGUGGCAAGCGUUGUCCGGAAUUACUGGGUGUAAAGGGCGUGUAGGCGGGAAUGUAAGUCAGAUGUGAAAUUCCAGGGCUCAACUCUGGGGGUGCAUCUGAAACUAUGUUUCUUGAGUGCUGGAGAGGGAAGCGGAAUUCCUAGUGUAGCGGUGAAAUGCGUAGAUAUUAGGAGGAACACCAGUGGCGAAGGCGGCUUUCUGGACAGUAACUGACGCUGAGGCGCGAAAGCGUGGGGAGCAAACAGG